rnacentral:lncRNA from 1 species
ACUGCUGGACUCAAGGGAUCCUCCUGCCUCAGCAUCCUGAGUAGCUGGGUCUACAGGCAUGAACCACCAGGCCCAGAACCCUGUCUUUUGAAAGCCAUAUGCGAUCUGUCUGCCCUGAAGUGACUACUUCAUCUCCAACCAGCCCUUGGCUGGCAAAGUCAGGAAGACUCCAGUCUUUCCUGAAGACCAGGGGAGAGUUUAUAACUCUAGCAUCAAAGUCAGCAGCUGUUCAUCUAGAAGACAACUUCCCAAAAGUCAAUGUCUUUGCCUGAAGCUUUUCUUCCCAGAUCUCCUAUGGUGAAACAACCAAAGGGAAGAAGAAUGUGGGCAGCCCUCAGUAAGACAGGAGAUGAGCAUCAACAUUGACCCAUUCUUUCUUCCAGUCCUCGAUGCUUACCUUGUACAUUCUUCUUUGUCUUCCGACUCAGUGCCUUUAGGGUAUGGACGUUGCCUGGUCCCACACAAGCCAAGCAUCAAAUGGAUGGCUCAACAAGGAGGCCAAGACCAGCUAAUGUUUAGUGAGCACCCAAAGGGGCCACACUGGAGAGAACAGCACAGCUCCGUCUGAGAAACAGCUGUUCCUUCCUGCCUGAGAGGCAGAGUGAUAGAAGAUAUCACAGAAUGUUGCUGCUUUGUCUUCCACCCUGAACCCUCCACGACCUCCCUGUAGCUUCCUGAUUUUAAGUAGACAUCAAAUGAUUCUUAAUCCUUUCUGGGUCUUGGAACGAUUUGAAAAUUGUCAACAGUACUGGGAUUCCCAGAAUAAUGCACAUAUGUACAUACUCAGAUAUUCCCCAAGCCCUGGAUAUAAUUUUAAGGGAGUUCACAGACCACACUCCCCCACCCAUCUGUGGACCCAGAUUCUGUGGGUUCGAGAUUCAGAAGCCCUGUUUCUAGGCAGGCCCUCUGUUGCUAACGCCCCUCGAGAACAUCACCCUAGAUGAUUAUCCCUUCUUCCUCCACUCCUUCCCACCUUCUCCAACUGCUGGGUUUCAGCACAAAGAUUGCUUGCCAGUUAAACUGGCACCAUGGACCGCACAGUAGUUGUUUCUUGGGUCUAGAGGAAACAGCCAGAUUCCUUUAAGUAAAUCAUGUCUUAGUUA